GGCGGCCGCAUUAGGUUUGGAGGCCCUGGCGAGUGGGCUGCAGAAAGUCAACUGGGAUUAAGGAAUAUUCUGCAACGAUGCCUGAAAUUUGCAACUGAGGGACGGGCGGAAAAGUACGCUGGAUGCCGGGCGAGGGACGAGAUACCUGACACGCGCUUGAGCCUAAGACAGCAGUGGGCAGAGAUCGGAGCUCUGCCCUCCCGGGUCCAGCCCAACCCUGGCAGACGACCAACAAUGCGUCGGUCCACCAGGAAAACGAACCGUAUGCCAGAUUACCGGUCCAGCACUGCGGAUGCCAGAUGUGAUAUUGGAAGGGGAACAUUUUCAAGAGACUUUACUGCAGCACAUCUCUCCAGAAUAUCAGUUAUACCCUGGGUCUGCCAUAGGGCCUCCAUUACAUAAACACCUAGGACGACAAUUUACAAUCAAAUCAAGUUUGCAUAGAUGGUCUUUGAUCAGUGGUUGUUGAUCAAUGGUCAGGACAAAUUGCAUAUGAAUGAUCAAUGAACUGACCUCAACACCUAUAUUGUUCAGUGAGCUAGUUUCAGUCAUUGUGCAAAGUAACUGAUAUAAGGUUGGAGAAGCCUGCAGCCAGCGGAGACUGAAAAGGCCACUUGGAUGAGUGAGGGAACGUUUUCUGACACUGAAAAAGCAAAGUCCAGAUGAACAGAAUCAACCAUUUGAGCAGACUGAAAAAUGUGCUCAAAUAACCAGGAAAAAAAACAAAACAAAACCAAAACGCACAGAACUUUUUGAAUCAAUGUCAGUGAAGAGAAGAAAGUAAUCAUGAAGCAUAUGUAACAUGGUGGACUAAUGUGUCUAUAUUAAUUCACCUCCAUAUUAUUAUAUGAAGUUGCACUGGGUUGGGAGUGGUUGUGUGUGUCUGUGUAACGGAGGGGGAAGGUGUUUCUUUGCACAGAUGUUAAAAAAAAAGAGAGAAACCCUCCUAAAAACGGACAGAGCAGUGGGGCAGCCAAGGGAAUGCACACAAAUUUAAAAACUGUAAGGAUAAGAUAUUUAUUACAUUUAAACAGGUAAAAAAAAUAAUAAAAUAGAUUAAAACAGCCCUGGCCAGGGGACAACAAUAAAAAUCAAUAAAACACAACGUUAAAAGUCCAGUGGCGUCCGCCACGGUAUACGAGUCACUAAUAACAAAUCCGGUGAAGCAAUACAGGGAGGGAACCCGGCGGCGUCCUCGCCUUCCUCUCCGCGUUCUGCGCCCCGAUGCGCUAAAAAGGAAAGGCAGCAGCAGUCACUACUCUUUUAGGGAGCUAUCGUUCAUUAAAAGGGGACAAGUCAAAAAGACUUACCCCGGGUGGGCAGAGCUCUCAACUCUGCCCGCCGCUUCCUUGUGACCGGUAAAUGGCACUGGCCUGCCUCGCCGCCUCUAAUUCUUCGCAGACGCGUAAUCCGGGCUUCCGUUGCUGCAGCAGUCGGACCGCUCGCCCCGCGUCGCUGGCUUUCCCUCCUUUCACGCCAAGCUGUACCAGUCCCGCACUGACGCCAACUCCGGCGGCGCCGCCGCUUGCGGCCGUCAGCUGCCACUUCUAGACCGCCAUCACUGCUACUCUCUCCCUCAGGCCUCUUGUUUGUCGUCUGGUAGGCCCUCUUAUUGGCCUCCGGGAACCUCGCAGGUGUAUAUGGUUCAUAAUCAGGGAGGGACGGAGUCUUUCCGGACAAGUUGACGGUGUAACCAAAAACAUGCAAUAUAAGUAAAACACUGCACAAAAUAUAACCAAAACAUGCAAUAUAAAAUAAAUAAACACACUUCACAUUAAAACACAACAAAGCAAAAACAACAUCCGUCCUUCCCUGGAUGACAUCUGUGUCACAUUUCUGGUGAGCCAAUGGCUGUAAUGGGGUUGGACUAAUUAGAGGCAGGUGUAAUUGACUGCACUGAUACACUGGUCUACUUAUAGCCCACACUACAAACACUGCUGUGUAAUUUUGCCUCUCUGUGCAGGCCAGGGCCUAUUAAAUGCCACAGCCUAAAGGCAGUGGAGUUGCAGAGGCUGGAGUGACCACUGGCUAUCUACUUUCAGGGUGGUGGGUCUCAGAGGACAACUGCUAACCCUGUUGAAGUCAACACGUGGAGUGCAACUGGCGUUGUGGCAUAACUGGGCUCUGGUCUUGGGACUGUAUGUUUUUACUUGAUCUGCAAAUGGGACACUGGACUGUUUUAUCUUAUCUUUUGAUUGUAUCAAAUUAUCUUUUAGAAUUUUAUUGACUGUCAUCCUUUUGCCCACAGCUGAGACUGUUGGUCAGACCUAGACUCUUUUUGUGUGUGUUAGCCUACACAUACAUGAUUGUUAACCAUUGUUAAAUUUCCCAAUUCUUUGAUCUUUGGGCUGAAGGAAGAACAACACUCGGUGUAUAAAAAUGCUCAAUCAACAAUCUCUUUAUUCCAUAAAACACUUUGACUAUAAACGUCCAGACGGGAGAUGUGGACAGGAUGGGGUCCGCCCGAUCUCAAAGUGUCUGACCGUUUCUCCCAUUCUUAUAGCGUCAGACCCCCUCCAAAGUCAUAAAACCUAAACAUCUACAUUCUCUCUUAGUGAGCCCAAGUUAUGACCUUGGCUUCUUGUGCAGUAUGUUCUAUUCUUUCUAAUCAGACAAAUAAGGCCAUGAUUCU